rnacentral:rRNA from 1 species
GACGAACGCUGGCGGCGUGCUUAACACAUGCAAGUCGAGCGGAAAGGCCACUUCGGUGGUACUCGAGCGGCGAACGGGUGAGUAACACGUGAGUAAUCUGCCCCUGGCUUUGGGAUAGCCACCGGAAACGGUGAUUAAUACCGGAUACGACCACUUCUCGCAUGGGAUGGUGGUGGAAAGUUUUUCGGCCAGGGAUGUGCUCGCGGCCUAUCAGCUUGAUGGUGAGGUAAUGGCUCACCAUGGCUUCGACGGGUAGCCGGCCUGAGAGGGUGACCGGUCACACUGGGACUGAGACACGGCCCAGACUCCUACGGGAGGCAGCAGUGGGGAAUAUUGGACAAUGGGCGGAAGCCUGAUCCAGCAACGCCGCGUGAGGGAUGACGGCCUUCGGGUUGUAAACCUCUUUCGGUGGGGACGAAGCGCAAGUGACGGUACCCACUAAAGAAGCACCGGCCAACUACGUGCCAGCAGCCGCCGUAAUAC